rnacentral:rRNA from 14 species
UAUGAAUAAGCACCGGCUAACUCCGUGCCAGCAGCCGCGGUAAUACGGAGGGUGCAAGCGUUGUCCGGAUUUAUUGGGUUUAAAGGGUGCGUAGGCGGAUCUUUAAGUCAGUGGUGAAAUCCUGCAGCUUAACUGUAGAACUGCCAUUGAUACUGGAGGUCUUGAGUAUACUAGAGGUAGGCGGAAUUUAUGGUGUAGCGGUGAAAUGCAUAGAUACCAUAAAGAACACCAAUAGCGUAGGCAGCUUACUUGAGUAUAACUGACGCUGAGGCACGAAAGCAUGGGUAGCGAACAGGAUUAGAUACCCUGGUAGUCCACGCCGUAAACGAUGGAUACUAGCUGUGCGGA